GCCCGCCUAGCUCAAUCGGAUAGAGCGUCAGACUCUUAUGGCGGGUAUGGUCGCACCACGACCGCAAUCUGAAGGCUGCGAGUUCGACCCUCGCGGUGGGCU